rnacentral:sRNA from 2 species
CUAGACAUGACUCGCCCAAGAAUUCUGCAACGCAAAGCCAAGUAGGGUAUGUCUUUAUCAAUGACUAUGCUUGUAGCGAUUGAAUCCAAUUGGUAUGGCCAGUCGGAAACAGAACCCCUUUUAAUACAGUCUUCUGCCAUGUCGGGGAAUGGGGGUACAUACAUAUGAAACUUGUUGCUGCGAACUGGGCGGGAGAGAUGGUGAUAUCUUAAAGGAGCCAUCAUUAUGGAUCCAUGGAUAAUCUGAUCGCCUUGACACAUGGUUAGCUCGAUAAAACAUGGGUUGACUGGAAAUGCUUGUUGACGAAAGAUGGAGUUGAAUAUGAAACUGGACAUCAUGAAAUAUUUUUAUUUGUUC